AGAGUUUGAUCCUGGCUCAGAUUGAACGCUGGCGGCAGGCCUAACACAUGCAAGUCGAGCGGUAGAGAGAAGCUUGCUUCUCUUGAGAGCGGCGGACGGGUGAGUAAUACCUAGGAAUCUGCCUGAUAGUGGGGGAUAACGUUCGGAAACGGACGCUAAUACCGCAUACGUCCUACGGGAGAAAGCAGGGGACCUUCGGGCCUUGCGCUAUCAGAUGAGCCUAGGUCGGAUUAGCUAGUUGGUGAGGUAAUGGCUCACCAAGGCUACGAUCCGUAACUGGUCUGAGAGGAUGAUCAGUCACACUGGAACUGAGACACGGUCCAGACUCCUACGGGAGGCAGCAGUGGGGAAUAUUGGACAAUGGGCGAAAGCCUGAUCCAGCCAUGCCGCGUGUGUGAAGAAGGUCUUCGGAUUGUAAAGCACUUUAAGUUGGGAGGAAGGGCAUUAACCUAAUACGUUAGUGUUUUGACGUUACCGACAGAAUAAGCACCGGCUAACUCUGUGCCAGCAGCCGCGGUAAUACAGAGGGUGCAAGCGUUAAUCGGAAUUACUGGGCGUAAAGCGCGCGUAGGUGGUUUGUUAAGUUGAAUGUGAAAUCCCCGGGCUCAACCUGGGAACUGCAUCCAAAACUGGCAAGCUAGAGUAUGGUAGAGGGUAGUGGAAUUUCCUGUGUAGCGGUGAAAUGCGUAGAUAUAGGAAGGAACACCAGUGGCGAAGGCGACUACCUGGACUGAUACUGACACUGAGGUGCGAAAGCGUGGGGAGCAAACGGGAUUAGAUACCCUGGUAGUCCACGCCGUAAACGAUGUCAACUAGCCGUUGGGAGUCUUGAACUCUUAGUGGCGCAGCUAACGCAUUAAGUUGACCGCCUGGGGAGUACGGCCGCAAGGUUAAAACUCAAAUGAAUUGACGGGGGCCCGCACAAGCGGUGGAGCAUGUGGUUUAAUUCGAAGCAACGCGAAGAACCUUACCAGGCCUUGACAUCCAAUGAACUUUCUAGAGAUAGAUUGGUGCCUUCGGGAACAUUGAGACAGGUGCUGCAUGGCUGUCGUCAGCUCGUGUCGUGAGAUGUUGGGUUAAGUCCCGUAACGAGCGCAACCCUUGUCCUUAGUUACCAGCACGUAAUGGUGGGCACUCUAAGGAGACUGCCGGUGACAAACCGGAGGAAGGUGGGGAUGACGUCAAGUCAUCAUGGCCCUUACGGCCUGGGCUACACACGUGCUACAAUGGUCGGUACAAAGGGUUGCCAAGCCGCGAGGUGGAGCUAAUCCCAUAAAACCGAUCGUAGUCCGGAUCGCAGUCUGCAACUCGACUGCGUGAAGUCGGAAUCGCUAGUAAUCGUGAAUCAGAAUGUCACGGUGAAUACGUUCCCGGGCCUUGCACUCACCGCCCGUCA
rnacentral:rRNA from 1 species